rnacentral:rRNA from 1 species
GUAGGUGGCAAGCGUUGUCCGGAAUUAUUGGGCGUAAAGCGCGCGCAGGCGGUUCUUUAAGUCUGAUGUGAAAGCCCACGGCUCAACCGUGGAGGGUCAUUGGAAACUGGAGAACUUGAGUACAGAAGAGGAAAGCGGAAUUCCACGUGUAGCGGUGAAAUGCGUAGAGAUGUGGAGGAACACCAGUGGCGAAGGCGGCUUUCUGGUCUGUAACUGACGCUGAGGCGCGAAAGCGUGGGGAGCAAACAGGGAUUGGAUACCCUGGUAGUCCACGCCGUAAACGAUGAGUGCUAAGUGUUAGGGGGGUUUCCGCCCCCCUUAGUGCUGCAGCUAACGCAUUAAGCACUCCGCCUGGAGAGUACGGCCGCAAGGCUG